UUAAGGGGUAAAAUGCAAGUUCAAAACAAACCCCGAUUUAGUUGAAUUCCAAUUUUAACCUUUUUACAACUUUUAUUUCUUCUUCUUCAUUUCUUCAGAAGAAACAUGAACACCACAAUCUCCUCUCUGCCCUAAACCCACUGUCAACAUCUCCGUCGCUACCAGCACCUCCUUCCAAAUCGCACCACCAACACCACCACAAAAACUGCAACAUCCAGUAUUGAGAUCUUCAUUGCCGACGGACCAAGAACAAACAGAUCUAAAAAUGAGAUCGCAUAUUUUUUGGAUUUGUAUUUUGGUGAUAAAAAUUGAAAUUCAAUCUCCGUCAGUUCUAUUGGUGAAGGAGAUCAAAGGGGAUUUAGGUGAUUAUCUUUCUUUUCAGAUUAAAUUUUAUGCUGGUGGUAUUUUAACUAGUUGUUGUUAUUGUUAUUGGUGGGGGUGAGGGUGGGAUGGUGAAAUUGAUGAGGGAGAUAGUGGCGGUUCUAGUUGUUCAGGUGGGGUGAAGAUUUGGUGUGACGUCGGUGGUUGGGAGAUGGUGAUGGUGGCUAUUGAAAGAAGAAAUGCAAAUGAUGGAGUUUAAAUCCUGUUCUUGCAUGCAGAAGAUUACACCACAUUGUUGUCAGGGGAUCUAUAAUUCAUAGAUGGUACUUAUGUGGUUCUGUUUCGCUGAUUCCACUGACUGUUGCUUGUGCUGUAAGUAUUUCACGAUUUUUAUUUUGGGAAGCUUAUUCGUGUGCCCUUUUUGUUGGACACAACUUUUGCUAGUUGCCUCCAAAUUGGAGACAACUUGAACAAGUUACCUACACAUUUGGAGACAACUUGGGCUAGUUGUUCAAAAGAUUUUUUUUUGAUCAUGUUUCUGUAAAUGGAUGUGUAAUCUGAUUAUGUAAAUGGAUGCGUAAUUUAUUAAUCCCUAUGCCUUAUUCAGAUGUAAAAUCAUAUAUGCUUUGCUGUAAGAAUGAAUAUUGUAGACGGACUUGUAAUAAUCAAGUACUGGAUUCUAACAGUCUAGAUGUUGUGGAGGUGGUGGUUAUUUUAACAUGCAUGUGAAAUUAUCUUUAUGCAUACAUCCGAGAACAUACAUCUUAGAGUAAUUGCAACGAAUCUGUGGUGCAAUGGUAGCACGACUGACUCCAUGUCAGAAGAUGCGUGUUCGACUCACACCAGGUUCACUCAUUUGUGUAUGUUUUUUAUUUUUGGAGACAACGUGUGCUAGUUACCAUCAUAUUUGGAAACAACUUUGUUUAGUUGCUUUGGUUAAUAGUGUUUUUGAUUCACACUCAGUUUUUUGAUCUCGAGUUGUGUAGCUCACUAGUUGCCUCCAGUUUUGUAGCUUUUUCUUUGUCUUUAUAUUUCUGUCACAUGCUCUAAUUUUUGCUGGUAUGCUUGUCAAUAGGUUUUUAAGGACUUGUUAUAGUUGUCUCUAGAUGUGCUAGUUGAUCACAUAUUUUGGAAACAACUUAUGCUAGUUGAUCCCAGACUUCGAGUCAACUUGUAAAAGUUGCUUCUGAAAUGAGAUAUUACAGGUUCCUAGGUUCCAAAUUAAUGGGGAAGACCUCUAUUGGCCGCUUGUGCACUAAUAUUAUGAAGCCAUCUAUAGACUUCAAAUUUCUGGAGGACCAUGUUCCCAUGAAAUUUUGUUUAUGUUCUUUUUUUUCACUUGUCAGUUUUGUGAACUUCCUUAUGUUUUGUUUUUAUUGACUUGUUAUCUUUGUUUUGAUAUUUUUUUCAAUUUUUUUUCUACUUGUUAUGUUGCAGUUGUUCUAAAUUGUUAUGAAUUGAUUUUUCUUUUUUUGGUUUUGUUUAUUUUGGUAAGUAAAGAUUGUCUGCUACAGAUUCUGCUUUCUUUCUUUUUGUGUGGAAAUUAUGCUGGUUUGGAUCCAUAUUUGGGGACAAGUUGUUCUAGUUUCUCUAAGAUUUCGAGACAACUUGUACAAGUUGCUUCCAUCUUUGCAACCAACUUGAAGAAAGUUGCCUUCAGUGGAAACCAACUUGGCGAAGUUGCCUCCAUGAAGAAAAAAAUUUGUGAG